rnacentral:misc_RNA from 1 species
AACGCACAUUGCACUCUCUUUCGGGAGAGUAUGCCUGUUUGAGAAUCUAUUGUAUUCAUUCCCUGGGAUUUGUCAAAGAAUCGUAGGGAGUUUUGAGGUUUCUCUGUAGAUAUUCUAUAGAGUGCCUUUAAAUAGAUUGCUGGUUUUAUAGCCGAAUUAAACAAUUGAGCGUUUUCCACAGGAGAACUUUUCUUUGUUUCAAGGAAGCUUAUAUAGACUGGCGAAACCAUCAACUCGCAAGAGUGAACCAUGGUCUCAAAUCAGGUAGGACUACCCGCUGAACUUAA